rnacentral:rRNA from 1 species
ACAUCCAGAGAACUUAGCAGAGAUGCUUUGGUGCCUUCGGGAACUCUGAGACAGGUGCUGCAUGGCUGUCGUCAGCUCGUGUUGUGAAAUGUUGGGUUAAGUCCCGCAACGAGCGCAACCCUUAUCCUUUGUUGCCAGCGGCUCGGCCGGGAACUCAAAGGAGACUGCCGGUGAUAAACCGGAGGAAGGUGGGGAUGACGUCAAGUCACCAUGGCCCUUACGGCCAGGGCUACACACGUGCUACAAUGGCGCAUACAAAGAGAAGCGACCUCGCGAGAGCAAGCGGACCUCAUAAAGUGCGUCGUAGUCCGGAUUGGAGUCUGCAACUCGACUCCAUGAAGUCGGAAUCGCUAGUAAUCGUAGAUCAGAAUGCUACGGUGAAUACGUUCCCGGGCCUUGUACACACCGCCCGUCACACCAUGGGAGUGGGUUGCAAAAGAAGUAGGUAGCUUAACCUUCGGGAGGGCGCUUACCACUUUGUGAUUCAUGACUGGGGUGAAGUCGUAACAAGGUAGGCGUAGCGAG